GCGCUAGCCUGAUGCAGCCAUGCCGCGUGUGUGAAGAAGGCCUUCGGGUUGUAAAGCACUUUCAGUGAGGAGGUAAGGUUAGUAGUUAAUACCUGCUAGCUGUGACGUUACUGACAGAAGAAGCACCGGCUAACUCCGUGCCAGCAGCCGCGGUAAUACGGAGGGUGCGAGCGUUAAUCGGAAUUACUGGGCGUAAAGCGUACGCAGGCGGUUUGUUAAGCGAGAUGUGAAAGCCCCGGGCUCAACCUGGGAACUGCAUUUCGAACUGGCAAACUAGAGUGUGAUAGAGGGUGGUAGAAUUUCAGGUGUAGCGGUGAAAUGCGUAGAGAUCUGAAGGAAUACCGAUGGCGAAGGCAGCCACCUGGGUCAACACUGACGCUCAUGUACGAAAGCGUGGGGAGCAAACAGGAUUAGAUACCCUGGUAGUCCACGCCGUAAACGAUGUCUACUAGAAGCUCGGAGCCUCGGCUCUGUUUUUCAAAGCUAACGCAUUAAGUAGACCGCCUGG
rnacentral:rRNA from 1 species